GUCCUUGUGGAUCUAACCAUUUCAAGAAUGGAAAAAAAUCUGCUAAAUUUGGCUUCCCAGCCCACACUGAAACCAUUCCCAUAGCUUGAAAAAAUUCAUACCCUUCUUUACACUGUGAAUCCACAACGUCUCUCGAGAGCAUAAGGUUACCAACUAUGUUGAAUGACAUUAGGAAGAGAUAGUGAGGUAAAUUCACUACCCCUGACUCUCCCCUUGCAGUUGCAGCUGCUGUAUCAUCUUCAAUACUCCUGAACAUCAAAGCAAUGGUAGUAUCACUAUUUCAAUCUAACUUCAUACAAAAAUACUAUAUCUAUAAACAGGAUUCAAAAGUCAGUGGUUACCUAAUCAUCUGGAGGAUGCACUUCCGCCGAAUGGAAGCUGUAUCAUUGACUCGCUUGACGGUCAUCAUUUCCACCGAGCAAAGACGCCUAAUCAUACGCCAGUAGGGGCUAAACUGGCCAACAGCAAGUGACCCAUCUCUGUAGUUAAGACAGUUAAAUACUUCAAGAGACUUACGGUCACAGAAGCUGGUAUCGUGAUUCUUAAGCAGCUCAGCCGCAGUCUUAGCUGAUUGUAUCACAACUGUAUCCAUGGAUCCUAGUCUGAGCCAGAGAACAGGUCCAUACUUAAACUUAAGCUCCUCUAAAGCUUGGUGUGGUGCAAUUCCUAGAUCAAAAAUAUUGCCCAAGAUUGGCCAACCUGGAGGCCCUGGAGGCAAAUUCUUGGUUCCUUGUCCCAAAAUUUUCCCUCUCCGGCAUACAAUCACAGCCAAAGAUAAGAACAAACUUGCCCAAACAAGGAAACCGCAGAUGAACUCCAUUAUUUCUCUUGAGUUCAAAGACUGCCCGUUCUAGUCGUUGUUCUAUGCUUCUGUUUUAUAUUCUCACGUAGGAAUAUAAUAUUGCAAUUAGUCAUAUUUUUGCGGCCACUGUUCUUACACAUGCUUGUUUGGAGGGUUGAAUAAAAAUCAAAUUGGGUCUGUGGAAUUCAAUUACUGCUUUUUAGAGAAAUUAGUUUUAAAUUUUUAUUUUACUAUUUUUAUUAAAAAAUUUAGAAAUCUUUUGUAUUUUUAUAAACAUUUCUUAAAUAUAAUAUAUAAUCUAUAGAAUUUUUUUCAAAAUAAUUUACAAUAUUAUAUGUUAAAAAAAGAAGAGAAAUUUAUUUUUUUAGAAGCCCAAAUAGGAUACGCUCAAAAUACCAAAUCUAAUUAAACUGAAUUAUAUAUAAUUUGAUUGGAUUCAUUCAAUUAAAUAAAUAUUAUUACUUAAUUUAUUUUUUAAUUAUUUAUAUCGAAUUCAGUUUGAAAGAGUCUUAUUUAAUUUCAAUAUGAUCACUUAUUAAUUAUUAUUUUUCUAAAUAAAUAUUUAAAAUAUCUUUCAUAUUUAACAAAAUUAAAUAUUAAAUAUUUUUUAAAUGGAUAUAAUUAGAGGGGAGUAUUCGGUCGGUUCGGUUCAAAAUCAAAUCGAAUCGAAUAAAUUGAAAAUCAAAAUUUUUAGUAUUUAUGAAAACUGAAUCGAACUGAUUUUGAUCAGAAAUCAAAUCAAAUCGAACCAGUCUGAUUCGAUUCGAUUUGAUUCGGUUUGAUCAGUUUAAAUUUUUAAUAAAUUUUUUAUUUACACUUUAUUUUUAUUUUUAGUAUUUUAAAAUUUAAGUAAAAUAUUUUAAUUUUAAUAUAAUUUAAUCUCUUUAUAUUAUUUAAAAUAAUAUAUUAUUAUCACUAAUCGUUUCGAUUUUUUUAAUUUUGUUAUUAAAUUUGAAUCGAAUUAAAAUAACUAAAAUUUUUAAAAUUAAAUAUUAAAUCAAAUUGAAAUGAAUAAAAAAUCAAAUCAAAUUUUUAAAUUAAUUUGAUUCGUUGAAUUUUUUCGAUUUAAAUCUAAUACUGCUCACCCUUAAAUAUAAUUUAAAAAUUAAUAAAAUAUUAUUUUUUAACAUUAAAAAAAUAAAAUAAAUAAAAAUUAUCAGAUAAAAAAUACUAACUUUAUAUAAAAAUAUCAAUUUUUUAUAUAAUAUAAAAUUAUGCAAUAUCAAAUAUAUAUACAUAUAUGUGGUGGCGGCUUUAGGAUUAAAAAAAUUGGAUAAAAGGCAAAGAUAAUGGAGUCCAUGAGAGCAAAUUGAAUGAUUCUAAACGAUAAGUUUUAAGAUGUUGAUGUUCCUAUUACAUUGACAUAUUGGGGGACCAUCGUCAUAAUCAUGCUUCAUAGUUAGACUUUAAUUUAGAUAUAUUAUGGCUCACACAGUAUUGAACUCGAUAAUAAAUAUAUUUAAAUAAAUUUAAAAAAUUUAAAUUUUUAUUUUUUUAUUUUCAAUUUUCUUUAAAGAAAAAGAAAAUUUUAUUGUAAAAAAAAUAAUUAUUUUAUUUAUUUAUUUCUACAAAAUUAAUUAUUUCUUUUUCUUAUCUCAAAAAAAUACAUUGUUAAUAACUCAAAAAAAAAAUUUUCAAAUUUUCUUUUAUUAAAACUUAUUCUGGUUAACAAUCAUUUUGCAUUCUAUCCAAACACUCCCUUAUAAUGAAGGCCAAGUAAAAGCCAAACCCAUGAUUAAGAAAUCAAAACUCCAAAGACAAUAUCAUACUUCAAUCAAAUACAGACAAAAACACACAUAUAGGCAUCACAAAAGAAGGUGAUGCCUUUUGUUCUGUGCAUUAUUUUGUGGGGAAACUUUUGGCUGCAUCAGAGAGUAUUACACUAAAUUAAUGGGUGAGUCUCAAUUGGCUUAAGCAAUUGAGUCUUAUUAUUAUUAACUUCAUUUUGGGUGUCCUUUCGAAAGGCUAGCCUCACGAGCAGCUGUAAACUUGGCAAUGAGCUUGUCCCUAGGUGGCCAGCUUUCUUGGAUUGUUGGGAUAUUGGAGAAUUCCUGCAUCCAAGAAGUUAACACUGGGAAUUUUUGCUGGUUUAUUAGUUUUACUGUGCUAUUACUGUUGCUUAUUCUUCUUCUCCCAUGGCUGAUUUCAUACCACCAACUACUUAUCAGCUAGGCUAACCCACUCCCUUCUUUAAAACCAAUUCCCUGCACUCCGCUCCUUUAAUUUUUUUAAAAAAAUUACUUUUAAAUUCUUGAAUUUAAAAAAAAAAUAGUCCACAUCUAUUUCAAAAUCACUCACGUCCUUUAUUUUGUAAAAUCAAACCUUUUAAUAUUUUUUAAAAAAAAUCAUUAGUCAAUUUAUUAACUUUAAUUAAAAAGAUUAAAAGGUAUGAAUGUUUAAAAUUAUAAAAACUAAAUAAUAUAUGAUGAUCUGAAAUCCAAUACAAUAGGGUUUUACAAGGGCUUUUGUACUCAAGAAGAACUCUCUCCUCUCUCUAGAGGGGUAUCCCUUUUAUCCUUUUCUUCCUGCCUACUGAUGACGUAUAACGGCUCUCCCCUUAUUGGACCACGCGUCUCUGCCACACAGAUAUGGGCGUACGAGAAAAUCAGGCGCCUGCUCCAUGCGUAACAGCCUCUGAUUCUCCCCCGUGCGUACACUCGAACGGAUCUGCCAGGCUGUAUGACGAGUCUCGUUCUGGAUUCUGGGCCGGGCCGUAAGCUGGGCUGGACGCUGAACCUUGGAGAAGAAGGAAUCCGUGGGGAGGUUGUAUGGGCUGGGCCGAUCUCGAUGAGGGAGAAUCUGGUGGAGUCCGGCCUCAAGGAUCUGGUGGUCCGGGCCUGUUUUACUUGAGAAGGCGUGCGGGCCUUCCUUUCAUGGGCCAUGGCCAUAAUCUAGGCCCAGGAUUGGGGGUAGAGAAAUCCAGCGGUCAUCAAUAUAUAUAAUUAAAAUUAGAUUUAUUGGAUAAAAAAAUUUAAACAUUCACUAUUUUUUAUAUUUAUAUUCUAACCUUAAAAUCUUGUAUAAUAAAAUCAAUUCUUUCAUAUUUAUCUCAAUUUUAGCUAUUUAUGUUAAUCAAUUUUGAUAAAAGAAAUUUAUUACACUCUCAUGCCACAUAAAAUUAUUUCUUAAAAGACUUAUUGAAUAAAAAAAUUCAAAUAUUUAUGUUAAUUUAUAUUUAUAUUCAAAACUUUAAAAUUUAAAUAAUAAAAUUAAAAUUUUUUAAUUUAUCAUAAUUAUAAUAAAAAAAUAAAUUGAAUUUGAAAAUUUUAUGUUAAAUUAUAAUAUAUUUCUUAAAUUUUUAUUUAACUAAUAAAACAGUUCUUAAAAUAUAUAUUUUUAUUUUAAUAAUAAUUUUUUUUAUUAAAUCCAUUAUUUACUUUUCAUUUUCAUUUUUAUACAUGCAUAGUAGUUUAAUAAAAAUUUAAAAUGUUAAAAAAUUAUAAUAUAAAAUAUAUAAUAUUUUAUUUUUAUUUAAUAUUAUUAAUAUAAAGUACAAUUUUUUAUCGGAUCAGAUAAUAAAUUAAUAUACAUCACAAAUUUACUUAUUAUACAGAUAAGAAAAUAAAAAUAUUAAAUAUUUUAAAUAACUUAUAAUAAAUAUAAUUAAUAUAUCUAAAUUUUUAUGAAAAUCAUAAAAGGAAUAAUUUUACAUACUAAAAAAUGUAAUAUUUCAUUUGAAUUAAUAUUAUUAAUAUAAAAUUCAUAUAUUAAAAAUAUAUGCAUAAUUUAUAAUAGUGAAUAUAAAUCUUCAAUAAAUUAUUUUAAUAUAUAAUAUUUACAUGUGAUAUUUUACAUAGUGAAAAUUUAUUUAUAAUAAUUAUUUAUUUAGUAUUACAUAUGAUAAAUAUAAAAUAAAAAUAUACUUUUAAUAUAAAUUUUAAAUUAAAGAACUAUAUAUUUAUUAAUAUAAAAACUUUAAGAACAAUAACUUUUCAAAUUCAAUUUUAUACCUCAAUUAAAAUUAUGAUAAAAGUUUGAUUUUUUUUUCCAAUAACCCUUAGAAUUAUAAAUUAUAUAAUUACCCCAAGACUCUCUCUGGUUGAUAGAGAGAAAGAGAUAUAUAAUCCUAACUUGAAAAUUCUACAAUAAUAUAUAUGAUUUGAGUGACAAGAUAUUAAACUCAAAGCCAGUCGUAGUUAUUUUAAUCCAUACCAUACAUCACACAACCAUAUAGUAUCUAGCUAGAUGUUACAUUCUUUAGCCAGCCAUCACUCCCGAACAUCUCUUGGGUAUCACAUUCAAAGGUAUAAGUUUUCGAACAGAUAUCCCAACCUUUUCUCUCAUAUCUAAAGUCUCAUGGGUUGAAUCCUUAUCAAGUUCCCAAUUAAAACAGUGAAUUAAAGAUGCUAGACCAAGGAGAAUUACUCUUUGAGCAAAUAACAUACCUACACAAAUCCUCCUUCCUGAUCCAAAUGGAAUUAGCUCAAAAUUUUGCCCCUUGUAGUCAAUGUUUAAACCUAGAAACCUCUCAGGCUUGAAGCUCAAGGGAUCUUCCCAAGAAUCUGGAUCUCUUCCUAUUGCCCAUGCAUUCACUAAAACUUGAGUAUCUUUGGGUACAUCGUACCCAACGAACUUUGUGUCUUGUAUUGUGUUUCUUGGCAGGAGCAAAGGAAGUGGGGGAUGUAACCUAAGUGUUUCCUUCACAACAACUUGCAAAUAUGGUAGUUUGUCUAUGUCACUCUCUUCAACAUUUCUGUUUUCUCCAACAACUUCAAUGAGUUCUUCUUUCACCUUUCUCAUGGCUUCAGGUUGACGAAGUAACUCUGCCAUGGCCCAUUCUAUUACUGUACUCGUAGUCUCUGACCCAGCAAAAAACAUUUCCUUCAACGUCAGACAAAACCAAGAAUAAUUAGUUAAUUAGCCUUUAUUAUUGCGCUUUGCAAAUUAGCAAUUACAAGACAUUAUACAAACUCUUCAAGUAAUGCAAGUAUAUGCUUACCAAUACGAGUAUGAUGAGUCUUUCAUAUGGGAUCUUCUCAUGCCAAUCUUUGCCAUCACCUUCAAAUUCCAACAAAGUGUCUAAGAAGUCCUUACUAGCUUUCUCCUUAUCCCCAAAUUUGUAUUCCUCAAUCCUUUCUUUCACAAACCCUUCAACAAUCUCCAAAGCUCGUCCCAUAUCUCUCGUCAUGUUUCUCUUUAGUCCUUGUGGAUCUAACCAUUUCAAGAAUGGAAAAAAAUCUGCUAAAUUUGGCUUCCCAGCCCACACUGAAACCAUUCCCAUAGCUUGAAAAAAUUCAUACCCUUCUUUACACUGUGAAUCCACAACGUCUCUCGAGAGCAUAAGGUUACCAACUAUGUUGAAUGACAUUAGGAAGAGAUAGUGAGGUAAAUUCACUACCCCUGACUCUCCCCUUGCAGUUGCAGCUGCUGUAUCAUCUUCAAUACUCCUGAACAUCAAAGCAAUGGUAGUAUCACUAUUUCAAUCUAACUUCAUACAAAAAUACUAUAUCUAUAAACAGGAUUCAAAAGUCAGUGGUUACCUAAUCAUCUGGUGGAUGCACUUCCGCCGAGUGGAAGCUGUAUCAUUGACUCGCUUGACUGUCAU
rnacentral:lncRNA from 1 species